rnacentral:rRNA from 1 species
GACGAACGCUGGCGGCGUGCUUAACACAUGCAAGUCGUACGGUAAGGCCCUUUCGGGGGUACACGAGUGGCGAACGGGUGAGUAACACGUGCGUAACCUGCACCCAACUAUGGGAUAACGCUAGGAAACUGGAGCUAAUACUGGAUAUGUGCUCCUGCUGCAUGGGGGGGGUUGGAAAGCUCCGGCGGCUGUGGGUGGACUCGCGGCCUAUCAGCUUGUUGGUGGGGUGGUGGCCUACCAAGGCGGCGUCGGGUUGCAGGCCUGAGAGGGUGACCGGCCACCUAGGGUCCUACGUACGGCCCCGAUACCGACGGGAGGCAGCAGUGGGGAAGAUUGCCGGAUGGGCGCAGGCCGGAUGCAGCAACGCCGCGUGUCGGAUAACGGUCUUCUUGGUGUAGACCGCAUGUAGAAGGGACGAAGCACGUUGUGACGGUACCUGCAGAAGAAGCACCGGCUAACUACGUG